rnacentral:rRNA from 1 species
AUUGAACGCUGGCGGCAGGCCUAACACAUGCAAGUCGAGCGGAUGCAGGGAGCUUGCUCCUGGAUUCAGCGGCGGACGGGUGGGUAAUGCCUAGGAAUCUGCCUGGUAGCGGGGGAUAACGUCCGGACACGGGCGCUAAUACCGCAUACGUCCUGAGGGAGAAAGUGGGGGAUCUUCGGACCUCACGCUCUCAGAUGAGCCUAGGUCGGAUUAGCUAGUUGGCGGGGUAAAGGCCUACCAAGGCGACGAUCCGUAACUGGUCUGAGAGGAUGAUCAGUCACACUGGAACUGAGACACGGUCCAGACUCCUACGGGAGGCAGCAGUGGGGAAUAUUGGACAAUGGGCGAAAGCCUGAUCCAGCCAUGCCGCGUGUGUGAAGAAGGUCUUCGGAUUGUAAAGCACUUUAAGUUGGGAGGAAGGGCAGUAAGUUAAUACCUUGCUGUUUUGACGUUACCAACAGAAUAAGCACCGGCUAACUUCGUG